rnacentral:rRNA from 1 species
UGGGGAAUAUUGCACAAUGGGCGCAAGCCUGAUGCAGCAACGCCGCGUGAACGAUGAAGGUCUUCGGAUCGUAAAGUUCUGUUGCAGGGGAAGAUAAUGACGGUACCCUGUGAGGAAGCCCCGGCUAACUACGUGCCAGCAGCCGCGGUAAUACGUAGGGGGCUAGCGUUAUCCGGAUUUACUGGGCGUAAAGCGCACGUAGGCGGACUAUUAAGUCAGGGGUGAAAUCCCGGGGCUCAACCCCGGAACUGCCUUUGAUACUGGUAGUCUUGAGUUCGAGAGAGGUGAGUGGAAUUCCGAGUGUAGAGGUGAAAUUCGUAGAUAUUCGGAGGAACACCAGUGGCGAAGGCGGCUCACUGGCUCGAUACUGACGCUGAGGUGCGAAAGCGUGGGGAGCAAACAGG